rnacentral:rRNA from 1 species
CAGGCCUAACACAUGCAAGUCGAACGAACCCUUCGGGGUUAGUGGCGCACGGGUGCGUAACGCGUGGGAAUCUGCCCUUUGCUUCGGAAUAACAGUUAGAAAUGACUGCUAAUACCGGAUGAUGUCUUCGGACCAAAGAUUUAUCGGCAAGGGAUGAGCCCGCGUAGGAUUAGGUAGUUGGUGGGGUAAAGGCCUACCAAGCCGACGAUCCUUAGCUGGUCUGAGAGGAUGAUCAGCCACACUGGGACUGAGACACGGCCCAGACUCCUACGGGAGGCAGCAGUGGGGAAUAUUGGACAAUGGGCGCAAGCCUGAUCCAGCAAUGCCGCGUGAGUGAUGAAGGCCUUCGGGUCGUAAAGCUCUUUUACCAGGGAUGAUAAUGACAGUAC